rnacentral:lncRNA from 1 species
ACACAAACUCCAGAUGUCUGACUCCCUGAACCUGACCGUCCUAAUUAGCAGAGCCCUAAUCUUUCCUUGACCAUCUCCUGUUCAGAAGUGGAGAAGUUAUCCAUCAACAGUCCCUGCCUGGAAAGAGCUUGGCUUCUGCCCUCCACAUGGCAUGCGGAUUUCCUUUUAUCUAAGAGAAAACCUAGAGUCCACCAGGAAGGCUGAGUGCCGCACAGAGGCCAGACAGAGCAGCCAUCAUUACUCCCUCCCUGCCGCCUCCUGCCUGUCUUCUAUGCCUAGCUAGCUGUUUCCUAAGGAUCAGAAGAGGAGUUUCUCCCUUGUCUUUCUGUUGGCGACACUGGGGAGAUUAUGGAACCUUUAGAAAGUGGCACCUUACUGGGAGAACUGAGACGUGAUAUAUCAGCUUCCUGUUCCUGUAACCCAUCACUUGCCUUGCCCACUAAGAUGGAGUCUGUCCUUCUUAGGAGUAUGAGCUAAAAUAAAGCCUUUCUUUCUUACGUU